rnacentral:lncRNA from 1 species
AAAGAAUCAUAAAGAAAUAACAUAAAAAUUCAAAAAUAUACUAAAAUAGAAAGCUUAAUAAAAUAUUAAAACAAAAAUCUUAAUUAAAUCUUAAUCAAAAUCUAAUCAAAUUCUAGUCAAAUCCUAGUCAAAUCCUAAUCAAAUCCUAAUCAAAUCCUAAUAAAAUUCUAAAUAAAUCCUAAAAAAUCCUAAAAAAAUCUUAACCCAAUUCUAAUCAAAUCCUAAACAAAUUUUAACCAAAUCCAAGUCAAAUUCUAAAUCAACCCUAACCAAAUCCUAAACAAAUUCUAAACAAAUCUUAAAUAAAUUCUAAACAAAUCCUAAAUAAAUCAUAAAAAAAUCCUAAAAAAAUCCUAACCAAAUCUUAAACAUAUCCUAACCAAAUCCUAAUCAAAUCCUAAACAAAUCCUAAGUAAAUCCUAAAAAUACCUUAAUCAAACCCUAAAAAAUCCUA